AUUGAACGCUGGCGGCAUGCCUUACACAUGCAAGUCGAACGGUAACAGGUUAAGCUGACGAGUGGCGAACGGGUGAGUAAUGUAUCGGAACGUGCCCAGUCGUGGGGGAUAACUGCUCGAAAGAGCAGCUAAUACCGCAUACGACCUGAGGGUGAAAGCGGGGGAUCGCAAGACCUCGCGCGAUUGGAGCGGCCGAUAUCAGAUUAGGUAGUUGGUGAGGUAAAGGCUCACCAAGCCGACGAUCUGUAGCUGGUCUGAGAGAACGACCAGCCACACUGGGACUGAGACACGGCCCAGACUCCUACGGGAGGCAGCAGUGGGGAAUUUUGGACAAUGGGCGCAAGCCUGAUCCAGCCAUGCCGCGUGCGGGAAGAAGGCCUUCGGGUUGUAAACCGCUUUUGUCAGGGAAGAAAAGGUUCUGGCUAAUACCUGGGACUCAUGACGGUACCUGAAGAAUAAGCACCGGCUAACUACGUG
rnacentral:rRNA from 1 species